rnacentral:lncRNA from 1 species
UAAAUAGCUGCUUGCUAUGUUCUUCUCUCAUGUGUACCUUUUGUGUGUUUGCUCUCUGUUAUGGUUUGUGUUGUUGCACAUGGUUCUCGGCGCGUUUCUUGGACGUCCUUCGGCUUCUCUUCUUCCGUUGGUGCUCUUGAUGGGAGGUUGGCUACUGAGGAUAGUACUAAUCCUGGUGAGUAUAGUUUUUUCGGGCUAUGAUUUGCUGAUUUUUUUAGUCUUUUUUAUUGUGUUGAUGAUGCUGUGUGAUUUUAGGUUUGAGGGCUGAUGAGGCGCGGUGGGGACGCCAGGAACAAGAUAUUCGUCAUGGGAGACAUCCUCUGGAUUCAUUGUUUGGUGGGUAUUUGGCAUGUUUUUUUUGUUAUUGUUGUUUGUCCGCAUUCUUGUUUUAUAUAUCUUUUUGCUUUAAUUUUCUCUAAUAUUUCUUGCUGAUUUAUUGAUUUUUGCGGUUGGAAGGAAUGUUCGGCCUGCGCGCUUGAAGAAUUGGUUGAUCCUUAAGGGUUUGAUUUUUCUUGGUUUUUGUUUGAAACUUUUUACCCCUGCUGAUUGAACGACGCAUGUGCACGGUGGCUUUUCAGGAUGUGGUCAAUCUCUUGCUUGGUCUUUUAAGAACAUUUUAUUUACUGCUGGAUGGAGGUUGUGGGCUCUCCUAGAAGGUUCCGAAUUCAGCAGAAUCAGCUUGCAUGUAUGUGUUUCUUCUAGAGAUUGUAUGGGCUGAUUUUGUCUCAUGUGAAAAAAACAGUUUGACUGCAUGCAUGCAGCCACGUUUGCCUGUUUGGAGUUCCUUCUCUAUUCCAUCGCUGCACAUGUUGUGUUCUGGGUUCUUCCAGUGUGUUUCAUUUUUUUCCUCUCCCCUUUUGCCUUCCUAUAAGUAGUUCUUUGCUCCUUCUCUCCUGUGUACUUGUGUGUGUGCUCUCUGGUAUGGUUCGUGCUGUUGCACAUGCUUCCGAUGUGUUCGUUCAAUGUCCUUGGGCUCCUCUUCUUCGGUUGGUGCUUCUGAUGGGGGGGUUGGCUGUUGCGGGUGCUUCUACUCCUCGUGAGUAUUGUUCUUUAUGGACUAUGAUUUGUUGAUUUUUGUAGUGUUGAGUAUCAUGAUUAAUUAGGAAACAUAAAAUAGACUAGGAAUUAUUCUGGCUUGUCUUGUACUCCAAGUUGAUCAUGUACUCAUAUAUAUAUGCCCACGAGGCUCAAGCAAUACAACAACUAUUCCACAAAUCCUCUCUCUCCCUUCUAACAUGGUAUCUAUCGCAAGUCGAUCCUAAACCCUAGCCGCCGCCGCUUCCGCACCUGCGCGCCGCCCCGGUGCGGUCGGCCUCCAUGACCGCCGCCGGGGGCCGCGCCGCCCGUACCUAGGGUUCGUCCGCCGGCCGUGUUGGCCGGCUGCCCUAGAGAGUCUUUUUUCCCGAUCCUUUGAUCGGGGUUUUCUCUCUUCGCCGGUCGCCUUGAUCGGCAUCUACUUUUUGGUUUUCCGAUCUCUUCGUGAUCGGUUUGUGUCGCCCGCCGCCGCCGUCGAUCCCCGUGCGCCUCUACUCCGACCCCGGCGCGACCAGCCGGCCUCUCCUCCGACCCGGUGGCCACGCGCGCCGAGGCGGCCCGUCCGGGCCAGCCGCCGUCCGCGCGUCGGUCCGCCCGUCGCCCUGCGCCGGUCGUCAUCGCCCUGCACCGACCGGGACACACCUGCAUCGCCGCGACCCGGCGGCCUCGCGCCAUGCGUCGGCCAAUCAUAGCCGACGCUCGCGCGCCGGCCCGCCCAUCGAUCCACGUCACCCGCCUCCGCCGCGUCUGCACGGCGACUCGGCGAUCUACCUUGCCGGCCUCGUCCUCGGCUGCAUCAGGCUCGUCGGCCGCCUCAACUCGGGCGCCGCUGCUCCGUUGGUCGUUCGGGCCUCGCUGCCCGGGCGUCGGCGCUGUUUUGGCAGCCCGGGUGCCGGUGCUGACGUCUCCCGCCGUCCGUCGUUGCCGGCCUCAUCCCGGACUCCGCCGUCACCACUCCUCCAUCGAGCGGCGUCCCCGACCUCACGCGCGAUCGGAUUGAUCACCCGCCCGCCGCCACGAUCCGCCUCAUCUCCGCCGCGCGACCGACCUGGCCCGUUGGUUACGCGCGCCUCCGCAGGUCCCGUGAAGAUCAUCCUCGAGUUCAGCGCGCCUCUCCACCGAUCGAGCAUCGGGCUGCCGCUGCGUCGCCCCGUCGGGCCGCAGCGCCGCCGCCACGUGGUUCUCCUCACAGCUGCACCGACCCGCGUCACCGCUGCGUCGCCCCUUCCGGCCGUAGUGCCGCGGCCCGCGGUCCUCCGCCGCUCCGGGGCCGUCCGCUCCAGGCCAUCCCCGUGGCUGCACCGACCCUCGCACCGCUGCUGCGUCGCCCCGUCGGGCCGUAGCGAGCGUGGCACGUGGUCCACGCCGCUGUCCUGAGGCCGUCCCCGCGGUUGCACCGACUNNN